UACGUAGGGCGCAAGCGUUGUCCGGAAUUAUUGGGCGUAAAGAGCUCGUAGGCGGUCUGUCACGUCGGCUGUGAAAUCCCGAGGCUCAACCUCGGGUCUGCAGUCGAUACGGGCAAACUAGAGUAUUGCAGGGGAGACUGGAAUUCCUGGUGUAGCGGUGAAAUGCGCAGAUAUCAGGAGGAACACCGGUGGCGAAGGCGGGUCUCUGGGCCGAUACUGACGCUGAGGAGCGAAAGCGUGGGGAGCGAACAGG
rnacentral:rRNA from 1 species